UACGUAGGGCGCAAGCGUUAUCCGGAAGUAUUGGGCGGAAAGAGCUCGUAGGCGGUUUGUCGCGUCUGCCGUGAAAGUCCGGGGCUCAACUCCGGAUCUGCGGUGGGUACGGGCAGACUAGAGUGAUGUAGGGGAGACUGGAAUUCCUGGUGUAGCGGUGAAAUGCGCAGAUAUCAGGAGGAACACCGAUGGCGAAGGCAGGUCUCUGGGCAUUAACUGACGCUGAGGAGCGAAAGCAUGGGGAGCGAACAGG
rnacentral:rRNA from 1 species